rnacentral:lncRNA from 1 species
UUAAAAUAGAACGGUAGUAACAUCACUUCUGUGCCUGAAAUUCCUCUGUGCACAGGCUCAGAAUGAGAAGGGGAAAAAAAUGGAUGUAGCAAACCGCUUCACUGCUUUAUCAUCCUAAAGCUCAAAGGAAAUAACACAUUCAUACUAAAUUAAGACGAAGGCACAGAACAAAUUACCCGAAGCUGGAGGCGGAGGGAAGGACUCGGGUCCGCUCACCUACCCCCUCCCGAAACAGGACGCUUGACCUGGCAGCAGCGAAGGCGCCAAAUGAGCUGCCAGACCUCAGCCCGAGCAGGUGGUGCGGGCAGGAAGGAAGAAGUGCCGCGAGCACAGAAAAGCCAGCUCCAGGUCUUGCCAUUUCCUCACUGCGGUGCACCCUCCAACUCUACUGGCUACCCGAAUUCUCUGAACAAGCCACAUUCCCCAACUUCUGAGCUUUGUAUGCUUAUGGCCACCCUGUUUGGCUGACACAUCCCCUUGCAGCCUCCAUCUAUCUUCGUCUUCCACUACAGAAGCCAGAGUAGAAAACACCUUCACCCAGCCUUCUUUGCAGCCAGAGGUGGUUGUUUGUGACCUUGUCUGACUCAUGGAAGAUGAGCCGUAGUCUGCAGGGAGCUUCUAGGAAAGCUUUUGCUUUCCUGACUGAAAGGAUAGACAUUGCUAACAACACUUUCUCAUUUGUUGUGCCUUCAACACAGAAAUGAUGCUAGGGUGGCAACAGUGAUCUUGUGACUGUGAGGAAAUGCCAAGAGAACGGCAGAGACUCCCAGAGAUCCUCAAGUUGCAGAACCAAUGCCAGCAGCUGCCUACUCCAACUCCUUGUGUGAUGUGACAAGAAAUAAACUCCUGCUGCUUCAAGUCAGCCUUAAUCAGCACCUCUUCCUUGAAACCAAAAUCAUCUCUUAACAGACACCAUGUGAUUCCUUCUGCCUGGACACUCUGCCCCUCCCCUCUGUGUCCUCUGGAUGCUUCCUGUCCAAGCCUAGGUCUAAGCUCCUUCAGGGAAGCUUCCCUGACUGUCUGAGCCAACACCUAAUCACAGUUCCAGGAACUUCCCCCACAACAUCUUGUAUUUCCCUUGCUUUAGCAUUUAUCAUAUUUUUUUCUUUUUUUAGUGAAUCCCACAUCCCACUUUGUUAUGGCCUGAAUUUUGUCUUUCCCCCACCCCAAAAUCUUAUGUUGAAAUCCUAACUCUUAAGGCCUUAGAAUGUGACUGUACUUGGAGAUGGAGCCUUUAAAAAUGUAAUUAAGUAAAAUCAUGUGGAUGGGCCCUGAUCCAAUAUCAUGUGAAACCGUGUGGCUAGGCCCUGAUCCAAUAUGACUGAUAUCCUUAAAGAUGGAAAAAUGUGGACACAGACACAGAAAAGAGAAAGGAGGUGGUGAAAUGCCUUAAGAAACUGGUGAGCUACAAGCCAAGGAAAAGGCUGCAGAAGAAAUCAACCCUGCUGACACCUUGAUCUUGGACUUCAAAAUCCAGAAUGGGGAGGAAAUUAAUUUUUGUUGUAUAAACCACCCAGUCUAUGAUACUUCAUUAUGGCUACCCUAGUAAACUAAUACACUGGCCAAUAUGGCCAAAGUGAUGGGACAUCACUGCCUUGAUUAGGUUAUGUUAGUAAGACUCAAUCUGAACCACACAGAGAGAGUCUCCUGGCCUCUAAGACACAGACAGCCAUGGUGUGGACUGCCUAUGGAGAAAACAAUGAGGCAGGGGACGACGAGCGGCUCUAGGAGCAGCAGGUGGCCUUCAACCAAAAGCAAGUAAGGAGCCGGGCGCCUCAGCUCUAUUACCACAAGGAAGUAAAUUCUACCACCAGAAAGCCUGGAAUAGAAUUUUGAGCUCCAGAUGAGGACAAUGCCGGGCUGAUUCCUUGAUUACAGCCUUGGGGAACAGAAGACUCUGCUAAGCCAUGCCUGGACUCCUGACCUAUGAAGAAGGUAAGAUGAUAAAUGAGUGUUACUUAGGGGGCGCCUGGGUGGCUCAGUUGGCUAAGCGUCCAACUCUUGAUUUCAGCUCAGGUCAUGAUCUCAGGGUCGUGAGAUCGAACCCCCCAUGAGGUUCCACAAUCAGUAGGGAGUCUGCUAGAGAUUCUCUCUAUCCCCCUCCCGCUGCCCUUCCCUUUGCUCACACACACUCAUUCUCCCAAAUAAAUAAAUAAUUUUUAAAAAGAAAUAAAUAUGUGUUACUUUAAGUUGCUAAGUUUGUGGUCAUUUAUUAUGCAGCAUAGAAAAAGAAUAGGUACCUGAUGAUGAGAUUUCCAUUUCCUGGUAGGGGAGAUGGGGAGCAGGUGAUAGCCAUAUGACUCCAUGCUAGGGGUGUUCAUUGGAAAUUCAGGGAUCGAGUCGAGCCUGAGAGGAGGAAGGGGAAUGAGAUGCAUAAUGCAACUCCCUACCACCCCAAAAUAUGCUUUCCUCUCAAGGUUUAAUGUGGUAAAUAGCCAGAAUAGGAUAAUUUGAGGAACACAACUAAGCUCUCAGUCUAAAUAUUUUUGCCCCU